GUCUACGGCCAUACCACCCUGAACAAGCCUGAUCCCGCCUGAUCGCGGAAGCUAAGCAGGGUCGGGCCUGGUUAGUACUUGGAUGGGAGACCACCUAGGAAGACUAGGUGCUGUAGGUG
rnacentral:rRNA from 1 species